AUUGAACGCUGGCGGAAUGCUUUACACAUGCAAGUCGAGCGGCAGCGCGGGGCAACCCUGGCGGCGAGCGGCGAACGGGUGAGUAACAUAUCGGAACGUACCCAGUCGUGGGGGAUAACUAUCCGAAAGGAUAGCUAAUACCGCAUACGACCUGAGGGUGAAAGCGGGGGACCGUAAGGCCUCGCGCGAUUGGAGCGGCCGAUAUCGGAUUAGCUAGUUGGUGAGGUAAAGGCUCACCAAGGCGACGAUCCGUAGCUGGUCUGAGAGGACGACCAGCCACACUGGAACUGAGACACGGUCCAGACUCCUACGGGAGGCAGCAGUGGGGAAUUUUGGACAAUGGGGGCAACCCUGAUCCAGCCAUUCCGCGUGAGUGAAGAAGGCCUUCGGGUUGUAAAGCUCUUUCAGCAGGAACGAAACGGUGGUCCCUAAUACGGGCUACUAAUGACGGUACCUGAAGAAGAAGCACCGGCUAACUACGUGCCAGCAGCCGCGGUAAUACGUAGGGUGCGAGCGUUAAUCGGAAUUACUGGGC
rnacentral:rRNA from 1 species